CUGCCACUGCCGCAGCCGCAACUCCUCCUUUCCCUUCUCUUCUUCUCCUCUUCUUCUUCCCUCCUCCUCCCCGGCAUCACACACACCCUCUCCUCUGUUUCCUCUGCAGGAAACAGAGGUAUCACAACCUCUUCUUCUUCUCUUCCUCUUUUUCUUCUUCUCCUCUUCGAACACCCCACACCUCUCCUCACUAUCUCUCUUCCCUCUCCCUCUUCCCUCUCUUCUUCUUCUUCUUUUCUUCUCUUCUCCCUCUUCUUCCUCUCUUCUUUUCUUCUCUUCUCCCUCUACUUCUCUUCUUCUUCUCCCCACGCCCCACAGCUUCUCUCUCUGUUUCGGGAACAGAGAAUGUGGGAGGCGGUGGGAUAAAACCGAAAUUUUCGGUUUUCUUUAUUUUUUUUCUUUUUACAACUUAACAGUUUAGUCCUUGAAAUUU
rnacentral:lncRNA from 1 species